rnacentral:rRNA from 1 species
AUUAGAUAGUUGGUAGGGUAACGGCCUACCAAGUCAACGAUCGGUAGCCGACCUGAGAGGGUGAUCGGCCACAUUGGAACUGAGAACGGUCCAAACUCCUACGGGAGGCAGCAGUGGGGAAUCUUGGGCAAUGGGGGGAACCCUGACCCAGCGACGCCGCGUGAGGGUAGAAGGUUUUCGGAUUGUAAACCUCUGUUCUUGGUGAAGAGAGAAAGACGGUAGCCAAGGAGGAAGCCCCGGCUAACUACGUGCCAGCAGCCGCGGUAAUACGUAGGGGGCGAGCGUUGUCCGGAAUGAUUGGGCGUAAAGGGCGCGUAGGCGGCGACAUAAGUCUGAAGUGAAAGUCCUAAAUUCAAGUUAGGAAUUGCUUUGGAAACUAUAUUGCUUGAGUGCAGGAGAGGUCAUCGGAAUUCCCGGUGUAGCGGUGAAAUGCGUAGAGAUCGGGAGGAACACCAGUGGCGAAGGCGGGUGGCUGGACUGUAACUGACGCUGAUGCGCGAAAGUGUGGGGAGCAAACAGGAUUAGAUACCCUGGUAGUCCACACCGUAAACGAUGAAUGCUAGGUGUAGGUGGUAUCGACCCCAUCUGUGCCGUCGCAAACGCAAUAA